GACUCAAGGGGGCAUUCGACAGGACAAGCCCACCGAGCAUCCUCUUGAGUGCAGCAGUCAGUCGUUUUAGCCACAAAUGGAACGAACGGGCAAGAUAACCCGAAACUCUUCGUGUCUUCCGCAUCCCCAAGCCACAUGUAAACUUGUUAACCACUCACACAGUUUCAAAAACCAGUGCCUGGCUUCACAAGACACACAAACAAGUUGCCCAUAGCCGAUGCAAAGACCAACCAGGGGCAAAAUUAUCUCAAGACAUCGUUUGCCAAGUAAUUUCUUUGGUACGUAACACAGGAACGUCAAAGUUGCACGAAAGGGG
rnacentral:misc_RNA from 1 species